rnacentral:lncRNA from 1 species
AGCUUUACAAAAGCUAAUUGAUGCUCGGGUCGGCAAAGCUCUUCAGGCUCUAGUUAGUCGAUUGCCUGCUGCACCACCCACACCAACUCCUAAUAAUAAUACAUUGGAGAAUCCCCGUUCUGGUCUUGUUAAUUCUGGAAAUGGAGCAACCACCAGUGAACCACAGGAAUGGGGACCAGGUAAUUCAAAUAAUUCAUAUUUGUAAAAUUUAGUACUAACCUUGCAGAAACAGAUUAAGGAACAAAAUGAGCGUAUUGAGCAAAUCCCUGGAGUUCCGCCUGUAAUAAAAGGAGUAGACAUGGACAAAUACUCACAACAACCUUGGAAGCCAAGUGCUGCUCCC